rnacentral:rRNA from 1 species
CUACGGGGCGCUCCAGUGGGGAAUAUUGCACAAUGGACGAAAGUCUGAUGCAGCAACGCCGCGUGGAGGAUGACACAUUUCGGUGCGUAAACUCCUUUUAUAGGUCAAGAUAAUGACGGUAGCCUAUGAAUAAGCGCCGGCUAACUCCGUGCCAGCAGCCGCGGUAAUACGGAGGGCGCAAGCGUUACUCGGAAUCACUGGGCGUAAAGAGCGUGUAGGCGGGUUAAUAAGUCAGAAGUGAAAUCCAAUGGCUCAACCAUUGAACUGCUUUUGAAACUGUUAACCUAGAGUAUGGGAGAGGUAGAUGGAAUUUCUGGUGUAGGGGUAAAAUCCGUAGAGAUCAGAAGGAAUACCGAUUGCGAAGGCGAUCUACUGGAACAUUAUUGACGCUGAGACGCGAAAGCGUGGGGAGCAAACAGGAUUAGAUACCCGAGUAGUC